AACGAUGUAGCUCAGUUGGUAGAGCACCGCCAGGAUAACGGACGGCGGUUCGAUUCCGCCCAUCGUUC
rnacentral:tRNA from 1 species